rnacentral:rRNA from 1 species
UACAGAGGUCUCAAGCGUUGUUCGGAUUCAUUGGGCGUAAAGGGUGCGUAGGUGGCGAUGUAAGUCUGGUGUGAAAUUUCGGGGCUCAACCCCGAAACUGCAUUGGAUACUGCGUUGCUCGAGGAUUGUAGAGGAGAGUGGAAUUCACGGUGUAGCAGUGAAAUGCGUAGAUAUCGUGAGGAAGACCAGUUGCGAAGGCGACUCUCUGGGCAAUUCCUGACACUGAGGCACGAAGGCCAGGGGAGCAAAC